rnacentral:lncRNA from 1 species
UUUCUUUGAAGAUUCUUUAUUGGAAGUUUGCUUUAUUUUUUCCUUUUUUAUUGAUUCUCCUGAAGCAAGAUGAUUGAACAUUUGCUGAUAAAUCAUUUUAUAUUCUUUGGGAGUUUUAGCUGCUGUUAACAAGGCCUGAUAUUGGGCUUUCUGGGCACCAAAUGAGGGUUCUGCUUGCAAUGUUAAUUUACCAGCAUAAGAUACAGUUGAGAAUUGGAUUCUCUUGGUUAUCCAAUUUUUUACCACUUCUUCCGUGGUAAGUUUCUGAAGGAUCUCCACCAUUUUAUUUUGUGCUUUUUUACUGAAAUAUUUAAUUCUGUUAUAUAUUGAAAAUUGAAAUACCAUUGCUAUACCUAAGGAAUAAAAAAUUUUAUAUAAAAAUACAUUAAAGGAAGGAUAUACUUUUCAUUUUGGGCUAGCUUAUAAUUACUUUUAAAAUAUUGAUAUACAUGAAGUACGUUUUGAGAUAGAAUAUCUUUAGUAAUACCUCUCUACUACCACCAUUUUAAAAAUCAAUUUGUUAUAUAAAAAUACAUUAAAGGAAGGAUAUACUUUUCAUUUUGGGCUAGCUUAUAAUUACUUUUAAAAUAUUGAUAUACAUGAAGUACGUUUUGAGAUAGAAUAUCUUUAGUAAUACCUCUCUACUACCACCAUUUUAAAAAUCAAUUUGAAAAUCUGGUGGUUGCUUUAAUGCUUUGUUAGUCAAAAUAUAUUAAUCACGAAUGAGUUGUGGUAGGAUUUUGAAUACUUAAAAUACUUGUCCAUGCAUCAAUAUAAUCAAAAUGAUUAUAUAAAGUACAAUACUUUUUAAAAUUUUUAAAUGUCAGUGCAAUAUAUAAAUUUGAGACUGGCCAAUCUUUUGGAAGAAUAAUCCUUUUUAUUUGAAUAGAAGAGUACGCUAUUAUAACACUGGUCUUUCUCUCACAUUGUGCCAGGGGCGUAGAAUGGGCCUCACUAGACUUCCAUACCGUAUCAUAACAUACCAUAUCGAGGGCUAGUGGGUCAUCCAAUAUCCAUCCACAUCAACAUCAUAUUAUGCAAUGCAUCAUAUUCAUGAAUUCUAAUGCAAAACAACCUAGUACAUAUCAUGGCAUUCGUGAUGUAUGAACAUGCUAAAAAUUUCAUUUACUUUAAAACAUAGUUCAAUUCUACUCACCUCUGGCUACUAACACUGCUGACCUCCUCGGUUCCUCGGGUCCAAUCCUACACAGGUGGACUCAAAUGAGGGACCAAACAUAUUCUAUAAGGACUCUAAACAACUCCCCAAAAACCCCCUAAAACAUCACAAAACAUGCAUGCAAAACAAGUAAAGGAAGGCUGAGC